CAUAGCGACUAUCGUGGCAUAUCAAUAAGCGGAGGAAAAGAAACUAACUAGGAUUCCCUUAGUAACGGCGAGUGAAGCGGGAAGAGCUCAAAUUUGAAAUCUUCAAGGUUCUACCUUGACGAAUUGUAGUUUAAAGAAGUGUUUUCUGUUGGAGUUUUGGUAAAAGUUCUUUGGAAUAGGACAUCAUAGAGGGUGAGAAUCCCGUAUUUGACCAUUAUUUUCAGCUGUGUGAUAGCACUUUCAAAGAGUCGGAUUGUUUGGGAAUGCAGUCCAAAAUGGGUGGUAAAUUUCAUCUAAGCUAAUAUACUGGCGAGAGACCGAUAGCGAACAAGUACCGUGAGGGAAAGAUGAAAAGAACUUUGAAAAGAGAGUUAAACAGUACGUGAAAUUGUCAAAAGGGAAGCGUUUGACACCAGUGUUGUUUUUCCGAAAAUCAAUUAAUGAAUGGCUUGAUUUUAAGUUUCAUGACCUUAAAAGCUUGUUUCUUAUUUUUCAUGUCUUUCUUAAUGCACUUUUCGGUUAACAAGUCAACAUCAAUUUCUUUUGUUGUAAAAGGUUAAGAGGAAGGUGGCUUUACUUUCGGGUAAAGUGUUUAUAGCCUUUUAACUCUGCAAUCGGAGAGAUUGAGGUCUGCAGCGUAGAUCCUUCGGGGUUAGAUACAUUUGUGCUAAGUUAUAGCUUUUCAUAGACAACUUGUUGACUAUGUUAAGUCUUGUAAUUUACUCGCAGAUGCUAUUUUACCUACGCUUAGGAUGUUGAUAUGCAUGACUGAUAU
rnacentral:rRNA from 1 species